rnacentral:rRNA from 1 species
GGCCAAGUUUUUAAGGGCGCACGGUGGAUGCCUUGGCACCAGGAACCGAUGAAGGACGUGGGAGGCCACGAUAGUCCCCGGGGAGUCGUCAACCAGGCUUUGAUCCGGGGGUUUCCGAAUGGGGAAACCCGGCAGUCGUCAUGGGCUGUCACCCAUACCUGAACACAUAGGGUAUGUGGAGGGAACGCGGGGAAGUGAAACAUCUCAGUACCCGCAGGAAGAGAAAACAACCGUGAUUCCGGGAGUAGUGGCGAGCGAAACCGGAUGAGGCCAAACCGUAUGCGUGUGAGACCCGGCAGGGGUUGCGUAUACGGGGUUGUGGGAUCUCUCUUCCACGGUCUGCCGGCCGUGGGACGAGUCAGAAACCGUUGAUGUAGGCGAAGGACAUGCGAAAGGUCCGGCGUAGAGGGUAAGACCCCCGUAGUCGAAACGUCAGCGGCUCGUUUGAGAGACACCCAAGUAGCACGGGGCCCGAGAAAUCCCGUGUGAAUCUGGCGGGACCACCCGCUAAGCCUAAAUAUUCCCUGGUGACCGAUAGCGGAUAGUACCGUGAGGGAAUGGUGAAAAGUACCCCGGGAGGGGAGUGAAAUAGUACCUGAAACCGUGUGCCUACAAGCCGUGGGAGCGUCGGACAUCAGCUUGCUGGUGUCUCGUGACUGCGUGCCUUUUGAAGAAUGAGCCUGCGAGUUUGCGGUGUGUUGCGAGGUUAACCCGUGUGGGGAAGCCGUAGCGAAAGCGAGUCCGAACAGGGCG